rnacentral:rRNA from 1 species
CUUAAAUUGAAGAGUUUGAUCAUGGCUCAGAUUGAACGCUGGCGGCAGGCCUAACACAUGCAAGUCGAGCGGCAGCGACAACAUUGAACCUUCGGGGGAUUUGUUG